rnacentral:rRNA from 1 species
UACGAACUGUGCGAACGUUAUUCGGAAUCACUGGGCUUACAGGGUGCGUAGGCGGCUUGUUAAGUAGGGUGUGAAAGCCCCCGGCUCAACCGGGGAAUUGCGCCCUAAACUGGCGAGCUGGAGUGAGAUAGGGGUGUGUGGAACUCCGGUGGAGCGGUGAAAUGUGUUGAUAUCGGAAGGAACGCCGGUGGCGAAAGCGACACACUGGAUCUUGUCUGACGCUGAGGCACGAAAGCCAGGGGAGCGAACGGG